UACGGAGGGGGCUAGCGUUGUUCGGAAUUACUGGGCGUAAAGCGCACGUAGGCGGAUCAGUCAGUUAGAGGUGAAAGCCCAGGGCUCAACCCUGGAACUGCCUUUAAUACUGCUGGUCUGGAGUCCGAGAGAGGUGAGUGGAAUUCCGAGUGUAGAGGUGAAAUUCGUAGAUAUUCGGAGGAACACCAGUGGCGAAGGCGGCUCACUGGCUCGGUACUGACGCUGGAGGUGCGAAAGCGUGGGGAGCAAACAGGAUUGAGAA
rnacentral:rRNA from 1 species